CCUCCUUGCCAAGUCUUCCCUCCUUGCCCCCAUUUUUGGCACACUCUGCUUGCCUGACUUCCUCCUUCUGCCUGCCCCUUAAGAGAGGAUGUUCUCAAAGUUGCUGCCCUUUUCUUUGUGAUUUUUCCUAGGUCUCUGGCCCUGGGCCUGGCACACAGUUGAUACUUAAUGGAUGUUUAUGGAAUGAUUCACACUCAGUGAACACCUGUGGGCCUUGGGGAAGUAGACCUUGACGACAGGAAAGUUGAUCAGGAGAUCCCUGCCAUGAAGCAGUUUAGAGAUCUCUCAAGGACAACAGGACACCUGGAUCUUAUCUCCUUUCCCUCAUCCAUAGAAGGAUGUUAUUUAUAAGGUAUUUUAUUGAGGAGAGUCCUCUGGACAUACAGUCCCCAAAGGAGUUUCCCUCUUUAAGGAAGAAAGGAAAGUAUUUUCCUGGACACCAGAUAUGCUGAGUUGGGACACGAGCUAAAGAAAGAGGAACUCACUCUGUUGCCCAGGCUGGAAUGCAGUUGCUGAUCACCUGCAGCCUCCUGAGCAGCUAGGACUACAGCUCUUUAUGUUCCUGAAAACCUGGAACUCCUUCCUGUCUGACCCACUGCAGUGGUGGAGAGGAUCAGGGGAGGUAAUGCUCAUGGAUGUACUUAGGAGACAUAAGGUGGGCACAACCAUCAUGGAGCCAUCUCUGCUCUCCCCAUCCCUUCAGUGUGCAUAGUCCAUGCCACUCAGUCAUUCCUCACCCACUCUACAGAUUUUAUUGAGAAUUGCUGUGAGCUGGGCACUGUUCUAGGCACUGCAGACACCAUGGCUAGUGAAACAGGCAAAGACCUGCCAUCUACAGCUUGUUUGAGUAUGGAGCAGAGGGUCAGGGAGAAGGGAGAUAAACAAUAAACAAGUAAAUUUACACUCUUUUAUUCCGAAUCGUCUUUUCACUGGUCUUAACUCCAUGAGCGCAGUGACAGUGUCCUAUGUGUUUUCUAUUUGUUUAUUUGUGUUCUCCACC